GCAUGGCCAUGUGACUCAGUUCUGGCCAAAAGAAUGUAAAGAAAACCACCUGUGCAGUUCUGGGAAUUGCUGUUAAAAAAAAAAAAAAAAAAAGCGGAGUACUCUUCUCCUUCCCAUACUCCUUCCUGAUACCUGGAAUAUAGCAUGGAAAGGCUGAGCUCCAGCAGCCAUAGUGUAUCAUGGGGUAGAAGUCAUGUUUGUGGAUAGCAGAGCAAUAAGACAGGAGCCUUUGCAUCAUGGAGCACCCUGUUGGCUCUGGAUUGAUUCCCUCAGGACAGCUAAACAUGAGAGAGAAACUGAGCUUUGAACUUGUUUGAGACAAUGAUAUUUGAGGGUUUUCAUUCUUCUCAACCCAACUGAAUCCUACCUGAUACACAGGGCUUCUGACUUGCUCCUUGGGCCUGAGUUCUCACCUUGGUCACUUGCCCAGUGUAAGGAUGGGGGCCUGGCCUGCUCCAUCCUGCAACUGGAGUUCUGCCCUCACCCCAGCUCAGUGGCUGGUCCCUGCUACCUGCUGGAACCCCAUCUAUGCUGCCUCCCCACCCAGCAGGAUUCUGUUCCUCGGCUGGACCCUUGCCAGGGUGGAGGGCAGGUCUCCCACUCUGCUUGCUUUCCUGGAGUGAGCUCUCUUGCCUGCCUCCCACUCUCUGCUUCCCACUCAUCCCUGUGCCCUUGGCUCCUGCACUGGGCCUGCCAGGGUGGUGGCUCUCUGGACAUCCCAAUGCCUCCAGUAUCUUCCCCAGUGGAGAGGUCCAGGAGCAGCCUGUUCCUGACAUACAGAAACAACGGCUCCUUCAUUCAUUGACUCAUUUCAACAGAUAUUUACCAAGCAUUUGUUAUCAGCAUUGAGAACACCACAGGAAAUAAGAUCAGGUCGAAUGGUGGGCCUAGUGCAAGCGCUUACAGGCACAGGCUUUAGAGUGAGAACAUCAAGCCCAGCCAGCAAAAACACUGAAACCCAUCACAAGGAAUUUUCAGGAGUUUCUUUUAAGGAUAUGCCCAUGACCUGGGUGAUGUGUGCAGGCCUGGAUGAGUCACUAUACCUCCCAGUCCCCAGCCACCCCAUCUGCACAUGGCGAGGCUGAACUGCAUGCUUUUGAUGACUCUGUGCAGGUCUGACCUCCUGUGAAGGGAGGAAAGGGCCCAGGGGCCCCUAGGCCUGGUUUUGCCAUGCAUGGGCUGCUGCCGGAUUUAGGGCCUUAAAACAACCACUUGAUUAUUAAUUUCUUUAGAAACAGGGUCUCACUCUGUUGCCCAGGCUGGAGUGCAGUGGUGUGACCAUAGGUCACUGCAGCCUCAAACUCCUGGCCUCAAGCAAGCCUCCCACUCAGGCCUCCCAAAGUGCUGGGAUGACAGGUAUGAGCCACCACACCCAGCCUUCACUUUUUAAUUAUUUAUUACAUCUUGUUUGGAUCUUAAUUUAAUAAAAAUGUUAGAAAAUGCUUUU
rnacentral:lncRNA from 1 species